rnacentral:misc_RNA from 1 species
GAUGAAGAACGUAGCGAAAUGCGAUAAGUAAUGUGAAUUGCAGAAUUCAGUGAAUCAUCGAAUCUUUGAACGCACAUUGCGCCCCCUGGUAUUCCGGGGGGCAUGCCUGUUCGAGCGUCAUUUCACCACUCAAGCCUCGCUUGGUAUUGGGCGACGCGGUCCGCCGCGCGCCUCAAAUCGACCGGCUGGGUCUUUCGUCCCCUCAGCGUUGUGGAAACUAUUCGCUAAAGGGUGCCGCGGGAGGCCACGCCGUAAAACAACCCCAUUUCUAAGGUUGACCUCGGAUCAGGUAGGGAUACCCGCUGAACUUAAGCAUAUCAAUAAGCGGAGGA